rnacentral:rRNA from 1 species
CUGCUCAGGACGAACGCUGGCGGCGUGCCUAAUACAUGCAAGUCGAACGAGGUUUGGUCAGUUUGCGGUGGUGCUUGCAUCACCAAUUACCGAUCAAACCGAGUGGCGGACGGGUGAGUAACACGUGGGUAACCUGCCCUUCAGCAGGGGAUAACAUUUGGAAACAGAUGCUAAUACCGUAUAACCACGGAGACCGCAUGGUCUCCGGGUAAAAGAUGGCGCAAGCUAUCACUGAAGGAUGGACCCGCGGCGUAUUAGCCAGUUGGUGGGGUAACGGCCUACCAAAGCGAUGAUACGUAGCCGACCUGAGAGGGUAAUCGGCCACAUUGGGACUGAGACACGGCCCAAACUCCUACGGGAGGCAGCAGUAGGGAAUCUUCCACAAUGGACGCAAGUCUGAUGGAGCAACGCCGCGUGAGUGAAGAAGGCUUUCGGGUCGUAAAACUCUGUUAUUGAAGAAGAACGUGUGUGACAGUAACUGGUCAUGCAGUGACGGUAUUCAAUCAGAAAGUCACGGCUAACUACGUGCCAGCAGCCGCGGUAAUACGUAGGUGGCAAGCGUUGUCCGGAUUUAUUGGGCGUAAAGCGAGUGCAGGCGGUCUUUUAAGUCUGAUGUGAAAGCCUUCGGCUUAACCGAAGAAGGGCAUCGGAAACUGGGAGACUUGAGUGCAGAAGAGGAGAGUGGAACUCCAUGUGUAGCGGUGAAAUGCGUAGAUAUAUGGAAGAACACCAGUGGCGAAGGCGGCUCUCUGGUCUGAACUGAC